CAGUCGCCGCGGGAAUACAGAGGGUGCGAGCGUUAAUCGGAUUUACUGGGCGUAAAGCGUGCGUAGGCGGCUUUUUAAGUCGGAUGUGAAAUCCCUGAGCUUAACUUAGGAAAUGCAUUCGAUACUGGGAAGCUAGAGUAUGGGAGAGGAUGGUAGAAUUCCAGGUGUAGCGGUGAAAUGCGUAGAGAUCUGGAGGAAUACCGAUGGCGAAGGCAGCCAUCUGGCCUAAUACUGACGCUGAGGUACGAAAGCAUGGGGAGCAAACAGGAUUAGAUACCCCUGUAGUCCCUGUCUCUUAUAA
rnacentral:rRNA from 1 species